AGAGUUUGAUCCUGGCUCAGGACGAACGCUGGCGGCGUGCCUAAUACAUGCAAGUAGAACGCUGAGGACUGGUGCUUGCACCGGUCCAAGGAGUUGCGAACGGGUGAGUAACGCGUAGGUAACCUACCUCAUAGCGGGGGAUAACUAUUGGAAACGAUAGCUAAUACCGCAUAAAAGUGUUUAACCCAUGUUAAACAUUUAAAAGGUGCAACUGCAUCACUAUGAGAUGGACCUGCGUUGUAUUAGCUAGUUGGUGAGGUAACGGCUCACCAAGGCGACGAUACAUAGCCGACCUGAGAGGGUGAUCGGCCACACUGGGACUGAGACACGGCCCAGACUCCUACGGGAGGCAGCAGUAGGGAAUCUUCGGCAAUGGACGGAAGUCUGACCGAGCAACGCCGCGUGAGUGAAGAAGGUUUUCGGAUCGUAAAGCUCUGUUGUUAGAGAAGAAUGAUGGUGGGAGUGGAAAAUCCACCAUGUGACGGUAACUAACCAGAAAGGGACGGCUAACUACGUGCCAGCAGCCGCGGUAAUACGUAGGUCCCGAGCGUUGUCCGGAUUUAUUGGGCGUAAAGCGAGCGCAGGCGGUUCUUUAAGUCUGAAGUUAAAGGCAGUGGCUCAACCAUUGUACGCUUUGGAAACUGGAGAACUUGAGUGCAGAAGGGGAGAGUGGAAUUCCAUGUGUAGCGGUGAAAUGCGUAGAUAUAUGGAGGAACACCGGUGGCGAAAAGCGGCUCUCUGGUCUGUAACUGGCGCUGAGGCUCGAAAGCGUGGGGAGCAAACAGGAUUACGAUACCCUGGUAGUCCACGCCGUAAACGAUGAGUGCUAGGUGUUAGGCCCUUUCCGGGGCUUAGUGCCGGAGCUAACGCAUUAAGCACUCCGCCUGGGGAGUACGACCGCAAGGUUGAAACUCAAAGGAAUUGAUGGGGGCCCGCACAAGCGGUGGAGCAUGUGGUUUAAUUCGAAGCAACGCGAAGAACCUUACCAGGUCUUGACAUCCUCCUGACCGGUCUAGAGAUAGGCUUUCCCUUCGGGGCAGGAGUGACAGGUGGUGCAUGGUUGUCGUCAGCUCGUGUCGUGAGAUGUUGGGUUAAGUCCCGCAACGAGCGCAACCCCUAUUGUUAGUUGCCAUCAUUAAGUUGGGCACUCUAGCGAGACUGCCGGUAAUAAACCGGAGGAAGGUGGGGAUGACGUCAAAUCAUCAUGCCCCUUAUGACCUGGGCUACACACGUGCUACAAUGGUUGGUACAACGAGUCGCAAGCCGGUGACGGCAAGCUAAUCUCUUAAAGCCAAUCUCAGUUCGGAUUGUAGGCUGCGACUCGCCUACAUGAAGUCGGAAUCGCUAGUAAUCGCGGAUCAGCACGCCGCGGUGAAUACGUUCCCGGGCCUUGUACACACCGCCCGUCACACCACGAGAGUUUGUAACACCCCGAAGUCGGUGAGGUAACCUAUUAGGAGCCAGCCGCCUAAGGUGGGAUAGAUGAUUGGGGUGAAGUCGUAACAAGGUA
rnacentral:rRNA from 1 species